AAAUUUUAAAAAUUGGACUUCACAUUUUGGGGGGCAAAAUUAAUUUGCUGCUAAAUAUUUCGUCGGAGAAAAGCCUUUAUUUAUUAUGGGCGACUAAAAGAGUUAGUCGGGAAAGAAAAUAAACUAGGUUUAAGAAAUACACUUCCACACGCUCUAUCUCUCUCAUACAUCUCUGUCUGUCUCUGCUCUCCUCCCGCUCUCUCUGUCUUUCUCUCUCUCGCUAGCUUUUGUCUCCAUCGUUAACGGAGCAUCACCGCCAUCGCACACGAGCACCACCUUCAAUCCACUAUUGGAGCAUUACCCCAGGUAUGUCCUCUCUAUAGUCUCUAUUCCUCUAAUUUCAGCCUCUAGGGUUUUCUUCUUCCGUUUGCAUACCUUCACCCAACCCCAACCCCAAAUCGACCCAUGUUAAGGUUGAGGCAUCUAUUCAUUCAUUGUUCUUGGAUAUGGAGGAUAUGGGUUGAAUUACUAGAAUAGUGGAAUGUUCACUUGGUUACACCAUAAUCUUUUUCAAAUUUGUCACACUGGGGGUUUGGGUUUAAAUUUGGGAAGCUGGAAAAGAAGAUGUGGAGGCCAUGGUUUGGUCAAUUUGGAAGGCUCAUUAAGUAUGUUUGUUUUUUUUCUAACUACUGCUCUUGCUUGUUUGUUUUUCUCUACCUACUGCUCUUACUUGGCCUGUUUCGUCCAUGCUUGUAUUUGUUGUUGUCUUCUGACCCUUUUGCUCACCAUUUGUUUGACAAAAUGUUCAAAUGAAACCGAACAAUGCUCAUGUGUUUGACAUCUGUUUAUGAGGUUUGGUAGUGCCCAGAUUGAAUUUAAUUGUUUUUUUCAAUUACCUGUUCAUGAGCUCUUAUUAGGUGCAAUUUCAGUUUGAGAUUGAAUUUCAUUUUUUUUGAAUGUUUGGGCCUAAUUCAUUUUUUUCAUUUUCAUUUAUGAGCUCUGUACAUCCAGGCACUGCUUUGGGCCUAAUUCGAAUUUUCUCCACUAGUUGCUUUUCUUCUUUAAUCCACAACAUGUUGCUGAUUUCUCUGCUCUUGUGGAGACAUGCCGAUUACUUCAAUAGUUUGUUCAAGAAGGUGGUGCGUCUAAUCAGUCUUCCUUCUUAAUGAAACCACUUAUUAAUGUUAUUUGAUGUUAGUAAAUGCACGUGACUUUCAUAAUGGCCCUCCUCAACAUACUUAAUGAGGCCUAAGUUGUUAAAUCAUUCUUAGUAUAGGGAGGGACCCCCUGCUCUCCCCUGCAAAUACCCCCAAACCAUAAACCCCCCAAUUUUUUUUUUUUAGUUUUGUACAAAAUAAUUCAAUUUAAAAGUUGAUACUUUUAAAUUUUUGAAAAUAAAAUAAAUGUUAAAUCAUCAUGUUCCUUUAUAGAUAAUUAUAAAUGUCGAUUGAGGUGAAACGUCACUAUUAGACAAUUCUCAUAUAUCAAGUGUGAAAUUGAAGAAAAGAGUCACGCUUAAUGCCAAUUUAGUUAGGAUAAUAGUGAUCUUUGUUAGUUUAAGGUUGUAGGAAUAUAUGUUAGAAAUAAUCUAAGCAAAUUAACGAGUAGAGUUAGAAAGAAAAAAGUUAUUAAAAAUAGUCAAAUCCUAAUAAUAAGAGAAAUGUUUGGAGGACGUUCAGUGAAUAAAAAUUAUAUUAUUUCUGUAAACUCUUGUUUAUUUUUUUUUUAUUCUCUCUAAGUUUUUCUAACUUGGACAUUGGAAUGCUUCCAAUCAGGUAAUACAUUAACCACGACGAAAGUGUUCUAUUGACUUUGCUUGCUAUCAUCAUCAAUCCAUCAUCAUGAUGAAUUUUUGCCCACAAAAAUAUACUCAGCCUCUCACAUUUCACACAUUAAAGAGAAUUAAAUAAAUUAAAUUGUCUAAUUUGUAAAUGAGCUAAAAGUAAAAUGGCCCAAUUCAUUUUUUUGAGACACCCAAAUGGGCCUUAAUGAAGUUCGUAGUGAUUUUGCUUUUAUGAGUUCCAUCGAAUCGUAAAAAUCUUCUUGGAACGACCAAAGAUUCUAUCUUCUAAAAGGAGUUCCAAACUUCCAAUUGAUUUUUUUUAGUUUCUAUUUCAAUGUCUCUGGUAGUGCUUAUUUAUUUAUUUUUUAUUAUUGUUAUUUUAAAAGUUGUUUGAUAAAGUUAAAUAGUCCUGAGUCCAUGUCCAUUGGAAAAAUUAUUGCUUCUCCAAUGAAUGUUAUUGUCAAAAAUUAAGAUCAAGGCCAAAUUGGAACUCUCGAAAGACUAGAUAAACAUUGUGUCGUAUUUUAGAAUUACUAAGUUUUGUGCCAAAUUCGAUACAAGAUUUAGCUACAAUGUGUAAAAUAAGUUACGAGUUUGCUAUGGGAAUUGUGGAAAUGAUAGUUAAAUUUUCUCAUUUGAGUAAAUUUGUGUGAAUUUAGGAGGGAGGUUGGUGUAUCAGAGCACCAAGAAGAGGGCCAGUGGACCCAAAUGUUCACUUUCCCAGAGCAGCAAGAAUUAUAUAGGCCAUGGGUUGCAUGAGUUCUAAAAGGGUAAUCUAUGUGACCCCACGUCCAACUCAAAGCUAUGGUGGUCACCCUCUAGAGCCAAAAAGGAAGUUUGAGAACAUAGAAGAGCUUUGUUUUGAUUUUGAGAAAGUGAUGCAAAAGUGGGGGCAAUGACUAAGCCAGUAUAGCAAUCCAUGGUUAUUAAGGCAAGUUGGUGUCUUUAGAAAGAAAGGUACUAAACUAUAUGAAGCAAGCUUGAAGGAUGAGAAGCCUUUAGAUCAAUGGCUUCAUUGUUAAAUUAAGCAAGUGUUUUAGUUAAUAAAUUUAAUUUUUCCAUCAUGUUUACACCUUCAAAAUAUUUUGUAAAUGACAUUUGAUGUAGAAUUUUGUGUAUAGAGGACAUCUUUUUUGUAUGAUUCUGUGUUUGUAUGGAAUUAUUAUUUUGGGUUGGAUUGUAUUUGAUUUGCAUAGAA